UCCCAGCUUCUAGCAAUUCCCAAUGUUGCUGGGCUCCAGGUGUGUGGCUCCAUGGCUCGUGGCUGCGGUGGCCGCUGCAGCAGCGCCGCGUGCCCGUGCACUUGCAUUGGCCUCAUCCUGCCCAGAUCCCAGCCCGUUAAGCCCUCUCAGCCCUGCUUUGUGGUGCUGGGACCAUAAAUACCUCUCUUCUGUAUUAACAAUUUGCUUGAUCUGCAGAGAAGACAAUAUUCUGUGCAGUACAUACUUUCCCGAUGACUCAUUCUGCCCCAAAAUUAACCUUCUAAAUACUAUGGUUUUUUUUUUUUUUAAAGUUUCUUCACAAAAUAUAAUAUCACAGCUAAAGCUUUCAUGAAGUAUUUUCCAGUUACUUAGUGGCCAAGCCCUCUGACUACUAUGUAUUUCAGCCCAGAAAACCUUUGAUAAUCUUUGCCUGUAUCCAGUGUUGGUGGUCUUAAAAUUCUACAACCCAGUGGAAAACUGUUAAAUGCUCAGGCUUCAGAGCAUGCCUAAUUAAUUCUUUGCAGGGUUUUAGUCCUUUAAAAAGUGUUAAAAACACGGAUUCAGUGUAUCAUUGAAUAUUGCAUGGUUCUGUGGAAAUAAAUUGCAUCAGUUUGAUUCCUUUAGCAGUUCAGAGAGUUAUUGCUCUGUGCUUACUCUGGAAGUUUACAGUCGUCUUUUGAAAGUUAAGGUUAAAAUAGGCAAAAGUUGCUAAUGAUGGGGAGUUGCUCAAUGGCAAAGUGAGAGCCCAAAAACUACAUCAGAAAAGUCUGGGCACGUAGAUCAAGCAGCCACAUUUACAGCUCAGGCUAUAAAUCUCCCUUACACUUGCAACUCCAAAAAGCAUUUGUGUUUAGCACGUGGACUGUUUUUAUUUUGAACAUGCUUCUGUUUAUUUUAUUUCAUGACUGCUUAAGGAGAUUAUAAUGGCUUUAUACUGGAAAGUACUGGCAACACUUAAGAAGCAGGUGAGGCAAAUUGAGCUUUUUUCUCUCCCAACAUCAAGUGCUGGGGGUACUCAACCUUGUAAGAAACUUUAAGUAUCUUUCAACAUCGAGGCUUAUGUGCUUCUUUCAAGAGACAUGGAGAUGGUAGAGAUGAAAAAGGAGCAUGUGAUGAACAAGUGAUUAUAAUUUUAAUGCAGAAUGAAAGGGGCAUAUGUCAAUAUGGAUAUCCAUUCCUCUCCUUUCCCACACAGUUCAUACUCGGGGGGUUCAUCUGGAGAUGUUGGUGGCAUUUCCAAGGCAAAGUUGGUAGCAUUUGUUGUGGUCUGGGUGUCUUUGCUGUCCUUGGUUUCUUCUUGUUCUGAGGUUUGUGGAAGCAAGAGCAAAGACAGAGAGCCAUGAGAGGUAUUUACCCCAUCUACCUAAGGGAACGCUACGUGGAGCAUCUUUCAAAGCAUGACAGACCCUCAGGAUCCUAGUGCUGACUGUGGUGGCACCCUCAUUUGCCUUCUCUGGAUAAGAGGAACCUUAAGGCAGCUUCCUGCUGGCACCAGAAGAGCUCUCCCAUCAGAUGCGCAUCCACUGCUCCCUGUCUGAGGGCCACACAGUGAUGUUUCCACCUGCCGAGAGCGGUGUUCAGCCCUGCCAUGAGGACUUUCAUCCCAUGAUACAAGCAUCAGAAGCAUCCUUUCCUCUUAGUGAUCAACGACAAUGCAAACCUAACCUUUGAGACAACCCGCACGCCAUGUCCUGCAGCUCCCAGUUGCCUUGCUUGCCCACCACCUUCCCCACCAUGCCAGAUGCAUCAACAUCUUCUGCCAUCCUUGCCCUCUUGCCCCUUGGCAGCCCUGCUCUUGCUCUGACUCAUGGGGCUAUGGGGACUGUGGCUGAGU